GAUGAAGAACGUAGCGAAAUGCGAUACUUGGUGUGAAUUGCAGAAUCCCGUGAACCAUCGAGUUUUUGAACGCAAGUUGCGCCCGAAGCCUUUUGGCCGAGGGCACGUCUGCCUGGGCGUCACGCAUCGCGUCGCCCCCCACAAUUCUCCGUAAAGGGAACAUGUGUUUUGGGGGCGGAUAUUGGUCUCCCGUGCUCAUGGCGUGGUUGGCCGAAAUAGGAGUCCUUUCGAUGGACGCACGAACUAGUGGUGGUCGUAAAAACCCUCGUCUUUUGUUUCGUGCUGUUGCUCGCAAGGUAAACUCUUUAAAAACCCCAAUGUGUCGUCUCUUGACGACGCUUCGAACGCGACCCCAGGUCAGGCGGGACUACCCGCUGAGUUUAAGCAUAUCAAUAAGCGGAGGA
rnacentral:misc_RNA from 1 species